rnacentral:rRNA from 1 species
GAUGAACGCUGGCGGCGUGCCUAAUACAUGCAAGUCGAGCGAACGGACGAGAAGCUUGCUUCUCUGAUGUUAGCGGCGGACGGGUGAGUAACACGUGGAUCACCUCCCUAUAAUACUGGGAUAACUUCGGGAAACCGUAGCUAAUACCGUAUAAUAUUUUGAACCGCAUGGUUCAAAAGUGAAAGACGGUCUUGCUGUCACUUAUAGAUGGAUCCGCGCUGCAUUAGCUAGUUGGUAAGGUAACGGCUUACCAAGGCAACGAUGCAUAGCCGACCUGAGAGGGUGAUCGGCCACACUGGAACUGAGACACGGUCCAGACUCCUACGGGAGGCAGCAGAAGGGAAUCUUCCGCAAUGGGCGAAAGCCUGACGGAGCAACGCCGCGUGAGUGAUGAAGGUCUUCGGAUCGUAAAACUCUGUUAUUAGGGAAGAACAGAUGUGUAAGUAACUGUGCACAUCUUGACGGUACCUAAUCAGAAAGCCACGGCUAACUACGUG